GUGCCAGCCGCCGCGGUAAUACGGAGGGUGCAAGCGUUGUCCGGAAUCACUGGGCGUAAAGGGUGCGCAGGCGGUGCCGCAAGUCGGAGGUGAAAGCCCUUGGCUCAACCACGGAAGUGCCUUCGAAACUGUUUCUCUUGAGUCCCGGAGAGGUUGCCGGAAUUCGUUGUGUAGCGGUGAAAUGCGUAGAUAUCACGAGGAACACCAGAGGCGAAAGCGGGCAACUGGACGGGUACUGACGCUCAGGCACGAAAGCGCGGGGAGCAAACAGGAUUAGAAACCCCAGUAGUCC
rnacentral:rRNA from 1 species